GAUGAACGCUGGCGGCGUGCUUAACACAUGCAAGUCGAACGGUGAAGCAGGAGCUUGCUCUUGUGGAUCAGUGGCGAACGGGUGAGUAACACGUGAGCAACCUGCCCCUGACUCUGGGAU
rnacentral:rRNA from 1 species